UAGGUAUCUGUGUAGUGUCUGUAUUAUAGUUGUCUGUCCUGUGUGUUAGAACUGAUUUAACACAACACUGAAACACAGAUGAGACAUGGACUACUAGAAUAAAGACACAUCAAAGAGAAGUUAAAUAGAGACAUGACACAGAACUGAAGCACAGAUGAGACACAGAAAACUACAGAUGACGCAGAACUGAAGCACAGACACAUCAAAAGCUAGAAUACAGACACAACAGACAGAUCUGAAGCACAGACAAGACAGAGAGAACUAAAAUACAGACACAAAAAAAACAGAAUAAAGACAACAAAGAAAUCAAACACAGACAUGACAAAAAAACUAGAAUACAGACGCAACAGACAGAACUGAAACACGGACACAACAACAACAAAAAAACUAUACAGACACAACAGACAGGGUUACACUUUAUUUCAAUGGUCCACUUUAGAAAUUCUACCAACUUGUUAGACUGUUAGUAGACAGGGUUAUUAGAAUAAGUUGACAUGUAGUUGAAAAUGUACUUAUAGUCAAUAGAAUGUCUGUUGGGGGACCAUCAAAAAAAGUGUUAGCAGAUAUCAAGCAGACAGUCUACUAAUACUCUUGACAUGUAGUUGCAAAGUUACUUGUUAUAAUGUAUAAGUGGACCAUCAAACUGAAGUGUUACCCAGCCAGAACUGAAACGACAGAGAGAACUAAAAUACAGACACACACACACAAACAGAACAAAGACAUGACAGAGAAACAGACACAACACAGAGAACUGAAACACAGACGUGAUGAAAAAAAAUAGGAUACAGACACAACAGGUAGAACUAAAAACAGACAUGAUAAAAAUAGAAUACAGACACGACAGACAGAAGUGAAACACAGACACAACAACAACAACAAAAAACUAGAAUAAAGACAUGACAGAACUGAAACCGACAGGACAAAAUAGAAUACACAAAAAAGAGAAAUAGAAUGCACAAAAAUAGUCAUGACAGAGAAACAGACACAACAGAAGGGCUUUUCUCACUUGAAAUAGUUAACCCUGGGUCAUUCUAAACCACAAGUAAACGGAUUCCUGGGUUAUCUUUAUUCACGUUUCACAUAGCCAGGUUUAACAGUUAAUCCUGGGUAUUCAUAAGCUGCCGUUUCACACUGUACAUUCCUAAACCACGGGUUAAAGUUCUUGUUUGAAUAUUCGCGGUGUCAGUGUUCCUGACUGCACAAACGCAGCACGUGACCUGUUUACAUAAGGGCUCUAGCAUCGCAUAUCCUCAUAUUACGCCGAGUCAUGCUGACUGUAACAUCAAGUUUUUCUGAGCUAUAAAGGAAACAGGAUGUCCUUUUGUGUGAGCUGCAGUGCUAAAGUGAUGUGAAACUCUCUUCAUAAUGCAGCACCAUCGCGUAGGUGCCACUGCUUAGACAUCGCAAUCUAACAGAGACUCUGCACCAUUUGCUAUCUGAAAGAGUCAGAGGACGCAAGAGAAAACACGGGAGAGAGACGCAGACAUGGCGCUGCUGCCGGAGAAUAAUUUAUGCACGACUCCGAUCACACACAGAUGUUUAGAGAGAGAGAGUGAGAGAGAGAGCGACAGACUGUGCUGUUGGGAAAAUCUGCAGCGAUCAGAGGAAGUCAGCCUAGAAUAAAAUUCCUGGUGCAUGUGUUUGCGUGCAUGUGAGCUCUCGCAGCAACCACGACCCUAGCCUGACCUCUACUUCUUGCAUCAAAGAGGAUUAUGGGACAGCUAACAGUCUGCCAAGAAUCCGACUGAAGGUCCGUGCUGAAAAAGAAAAUAGAAAAGUUGGACCGAAACAGACCGACUUGAUGACGUGUAUGAACAAAAUCCGUAUUAUCUGUCAAAUUCUUCCAAACGGCAUCAGAGAUUGUCUGCAAGAGAAGGAAGAGCAUUUAAAACACUUUUGCAGAGAUAUUAAAACUGGCUGUAAAAUUUUGAUUAUUAUUAUUAUUAAAAUUAUUUAUUAAUGAC